UUGUAGUAUAUAAUUUUGGUUUGAGUUUUUAAAUAAAUAUGAAGUUUGCAUAAUUUUAAUGUAAUUAUCAAUUUGGAAAUUAAUAGUAUGUAGAAUAAGUACAUAUUGUAAUAGUUAAUUAAUGUUUUAAUAUGAAAAGAUUGUUUGGAAACAGACUACCGUUCAUAUAAUUAAAAUGGUCAAAGAAAGUGGAAGGCAAUUAUUAUUAAUUAUUUGGAUACUUUUCAUAUAACACAAAGUUACAAUGAAAUGCAUAAGAGUGGUUUGUCAAAUUAUUAUUUUGUAUAUAGAGAAAAGACAAAAAAAAAUAUGCAAGAGAAAUCUAUACCAUAUAAAAGUUCCAAAUUGCUUAUCUCCAAGAUACCAAAGGUUUCAGAGUUCUAAUUUGAUAAUACACUUGACCCGUAGAGAACUUAUUGUAUAUGUUUUGCUGUCUAUUUUCCAUUCGUAGAAGACAUCAUCAAGUCAGUAAGAUUAACAAUAGUGAGAUAGGCAUGAAGUAUAUAACUUGAUUACUACUUGUAAUAAUUUGUCCAAAUUUCAGUUCGUAGAAGUAUGAUUAAAAAUAUCAAAACCUUUCUUGAUCAACGUACCCUCUCUCCUUCUCUUAUGAUUGAAGAA
rnacentral:lncRNA from 1 species